rnacentral:rRNA from 1 species
GACAGAGGGUGCAAACGUUGUUCGGAAUUACUGGGCGUAAAGCGAGUGUAGGCGGUCUCAAAAGUCAGGUGUGAAAGCCCGGGGCUCAACCCCGGGAGGCGGAUGGAUACUGCUUGGCUCGAGUCCGGAAGAGGCGAGUGGAAUUCCCGGUGUAGCGGUGAAAUGCGCAGAUAUCGGGAGGAACACCAAUGGCGAAGGCAGCUCGCUGGGACGGUACUGACGCUGAGACGCGAAAGCGUGGGGAGCAAACAGG